rnacentral:misc_RNA from 1 species
UACGAGGGGGGCUAGCGUUGCUCGGAAUUACUGGGCGUAAAGGGCGCGUAGGCGGCUUAGUCAGUCAGGCGUGAAAUUCCUGGGCUUAACCUGGGGGCUGCGCUUGAUACGGCUAGGCUUGAGGGUAGGAGAGGGUCGUGGAAUUCCCAGUGUAAAGGUGAAAUUCGUAGAUAUUGGGAAGAACACCGGUGGCGAAGGCGGCGACCUGGCCUAUUACUGACGCUGAGGCGCGACAGCGUGGGGAGCAAACAGG